rnacentral:rRNA from 1 species
CUUGGGCGGCGGCUACCAUGCAAGUCGAACGGACCUUUCGGGGUUAGUGGCGGACGGGUGAGUAACACGUGGGAACGUGCCUUUAGGUUCGGAAUAGCUCCUGGAAACGGGUGGUAAUGCCGAAUGUGCCCUUCGGGGGAAAGAUUUAUCGCCUUUAGAGCGGCCCGCGUCUGAUUAGCUAGUUGGUUGAGGUAACGGCUCACCAAGGCGACGAUCAGUAGCUGGUCUGAGAGGAUGGCCAGCCACAUUGGGACUGAGACACGGCCCAAACUCCUACGGGAGGCAGCAGUGGGGAAUCUUGCGCAAUGGGCGAAAGCCUGACGCAGCCAUGCCGCGUGAAUGAUGAAGGUCUUAGGAUUGUAAAAUUCUUUCACCGGGGACGAUAAUGACGGUACCCGGAGAAGAAGCCCCGGCUAACUUCGUGCCAGCAGCCGCGGUAAUACGAAGGGGGCUAGCGUUGCUCGGAAUUACUGGGCGUAAAGGGCGCGUAGGCGGACAUUUAAGUCAGGGGUGAAAUCCCAGAGCUCAACUCUGGAACUGCCUUUGAUACUGGGUGUCUUGAGUGUGAGAGAGGUAUGUGGAACUCCGAGUGUAGAGGUGAAAUUCGUAGAUAUUCGGAAGAACACCAGUGGCGAAGGCGACAUACUGGCUCAUUACUGACGCUGAGGCGCGAAAGCGUGGGGAGCAAACAGGAUUAGAUACCCUGGUAGUCCACGCCGUAAACGAUGAUUGCUAGUUGUCGGGCUGCAUGCAGUUCGGUGACGCAGCUAACGCAUUAAGCAAUCCGCCUGGGGAGUACGGUCGCAAGAUUAAAACUCAA